GAGAGAGAAUAGAGGUACCUUCACCCAUACGAAUUGUAUAAAGCUUCUGCUUCAGUAUGAAGAUCGAAAAUGCUGGUUGUUCAAACGUCACCCGCAUUAUGGUCUUCUAUGCAAUUUCUACUUCUGGUAGCAAAACUAUGUACAGGAGUACUCUUGAACAUGUAGGAAUCUCAGUGACGUCUUAAAAACAAAACAAAGUGAUUGCUCGGCCUUGGAAAGAUCAUCACUGUUUGGGAGGACACUAUCUGUUAUUACAUUCACUCUUCAACCAAGGAUAGUUGCUCAGGAGUUUCAAUAUCUUCUGUGGAAUUUCAUAGCUAAUAAUUUACUUGCUGAAAAUGAUUUCUAUGUUGUCAUUUUCUCUAUCUUUUCAUCAUUCUUUUUAUCUUGAGAACCUUAUAGUUAUUUAAGAGUAUGAAUAUGUUGUUCCCAAAUCUUGUAUGCUGGUGGAGGAAGAUAUAGGAUAAGUGUACUUUUGAAUAGGGAAGUGGGAGCUUUAUUCAUAAAUUUGUGAUUAAAAUUUGAUCGCCAAGCAAAAACCUUUAUGGUAACCUUUUGUAUCAAUGAGAUUAUUGUUUCUGUUUGUUUCCA